rnacentral:misc_RNA from 1 species
AAGUCGUAACAAGGUUUCCGUAGGUGAACCUGCGGAAGGAUCAUUAACACGUAUCCAAACGUAAAAAACCCCCCCCGUGAACAUUCAAUCCUGCUCUUGUAACCCGCGUAGUUCGCAAUCUCUGGUAAAUCAUAGCCCGGAAAGUAGUUUUGAUUCAGAGACCUCUGGCUACGUGAGAACAUUGGAACAGUUACAAUCGAGCGGUAGUUUCAUAGGCAUUGUUUCCCCAAGCAGUCAGUGUCUGAAAGUGUCACUGAUUGUGCAAGGAUAGCGCUUCAACGAUUUCUAAGGGUCCCCAUGCCCCCUUAUAACCCCACAGUUUAAUGUGAAGCUCAAUGUAAUACAUUGGGUAAAAAAACCGAACAACUGUUAACAAUGGAUAUCUUGGUUCUC